rnacentral:rRNA from 1 species
UACGUAGGGCGCGAGCGUUGUCCGGAAUUAUUGGGCGUAAAGAGCUCGUAGGCGGUGUGUCGCGUCGGCUGUGAAAACCCGAGGCUCAACCUCGGGCCUGCAGUCGAUACGGGCAGACUAGAGUGCUGUAGGGGAGACUGGAAUUCCUGGUGUAGCGGUGAAAUGCGCAGAUAUCAGGAGGAACACCGGUGGCGAAGGCGGGUCUCUGGGCAGUAACUGACGCUGGAGGAG